GACAGGGUUCUCGAUCGUUAAUCGUAAUUACUGGGCGUAAAGCGCGCGUAGGCGGCUUUGCAAGUCGGGUGUGAAAUCCCCAGGCUUAACCUGGGAACUGCAUUCGAGACUGCAUAGCUAGAGUAUGGGAGAGGGAAGUGGAAUUUCAGGUGUAGCGGUGAAAUGCGUAGAUAUCUGAAGGAACAUCAGUGGCGAAAGCGACUUCCUGGACCAAUACUGACGCUCAUGUGCGAAAGCGUGGGGAGCAAACAGG
rnacentral:rRNA from 1 species